AUAAUGAUACUUCCGUCAAGUCAAAAGUCGAGCGUGAUAAAACCGUCGUAACCAAAGAGGGCGGCUGUGGGAGAUCCUCACGGUGGUGAAAUUCCAAUGG
ncrna:unclassified sequences pemK RNA